GAGAGAGAGAGAGAGAGAGAGAGAGAGAGAGAGAGAGAGAGAGAGAGAGAGAGAGAGAGAGAGAGAGAGAGAGAGAGAGAGAGAGAGAGAGAGAGAGAGAGAGAGAGAGAGGCUGUGAAAGGCUGGAAGAGGCUGUGAGAAUUUGGGACAGUUUGGGGUGAGUCUGGAAUGGUCUGGAUACACUGGGAAUGAGAUAGAGUGAGAGAGAGGCUGUGAGUGGCUGUGAAUAGCUGGGAGAGGGUGUGAUAGGUUGUGAGAGGCUGAGAAAAGACAGUGAGAGGGUGGAGAAAAUAAUGGGAAACUGGAAAAAUGAAAAGGAGAGAUAGAAAGAGACACACAGGUAGACAGACACAC